AAGGCGAAUCCUUUUGGGUUUGAGCGCUUAGCUGUUAACUAAGAGUUUGUAGGAUCGAGGCCUUCCUGUCUAG
rnacentral:tRNA from 1 species